rnacentral:misc_RNA from 1 species
AGCAGCCGCGGUAAUUCCAGCUCCAAUAGCGUAUAUUAAAGUUGUUGCAGUUAAAAAGCUCGUAGUUGAAUUUCGGGAUUGGCGCAUCGGUCGUGCCUCACGGGGUAUGAACUGGUGCAGUCAAUUUCUCACCUUCUGGAGAACCGCGAUGUCCUUAAUUGGAUGCCGCGGGGAACCAGGACCUUUACUUUGAAAAAUUAGAGUGUUUAAAGCAGGCAUUUUUGCUUGAAUACAUUAGCAUGGAAUAAUAAAAUAGGACGGCAUGGUUCUAUUUUGUUGGUUUCUAGGACCACCGUAAUGAUUAAUAGGGAUAGUUGGGGGCAUUAGUAUUCAAUUGUCAGAGGUGAAAUUCUUGGAUUUAUUGAAGACUAACUACUGCGAAAGCAUUUGCCAAGGAUGUUUUCAUUAAUCAAGAACGAAAGUUAGGGGAUCGAAGACGAUCAGAUACCGUCGUAGUCUUAACCAUAAACUAUGCCGACUAGGAAUCAGACGGUGUUAAUUUUUAAUGACUCGUUUGGCA